UAGUAGGUUGGGUAAAGGCUGACCUAGGCGACGAUCCGUAGCUGGUCUGAGAGGAUGAUCAGCCACACUGGGACUGAGACACGGUUUAGAUUUCUACGGGAGGUAGCAGUGGGGAAUUUUGGACAAUGGGGGCAACCUUGAUCCAGCCAUGCCGCGUGAGUGAAGAAGGCCUUCGGGUUGUAAAGCUUUUUCGGCCGGAACGAAAUCGUAUCUCCUAAUACGGGGUGUGGAUGAUGGUACUGGAAGAAGAAGCAUUGGCUAACUACGUGCCAGCAGUUGCGGUAAUACGUAGGGUGCGAGCGUUAAUCGGAAUUAUUGGGCGUAAAGCGUGCGCAGGCGGUUUUUCAAGUCAGAUGUGAAAGUUUCGGGCUUAACCUGGGAACUGCGUUUGAAACUGGAGGGCUAGAGUGUGGUAGAGGGAGGUGGAAUUCCACGUGUAGCAGUGAAAUGCGUAGAGAUGUGGAGGAACAUCGAUGGCGAAGGCAGUUUUUUGGGUCAAUACUGACGCUUAGGUACGAAAGCGUGGGGAGCAAACAGGAUUAGAUAUUCUGGUAGUCCAUGCCUUAAACGAUGUCGACUGGUUGUUGGGGAAGGAAACUUUCUUAGUAACGAAGCUAACGCGUGAAGUCGAUUGCUUGGGGAGUACGGUCGCAAGGUUAAAACUCAAAGGAAUUGACGGGGACCUGCAUAAGCGGUGGAUUAUGUGGAUUAAUUCGAUGCAACGCGAAAAACCUUACCUAUCCUUGACAUGUCCGGAAGCCUGAUGAGAGUUGGGUGUGCCUGAAAGGGAGUUGGAACACAGGUGCUGCAUGGUUGUCGUUAGCUCGUGUCGUGAGAUGUUGGGUUAAGUCCCGCAACGAGCGUAACCCUUGCCAUUAGUUGCCACACUUCGGGUGGGCAUUUUAAUGGGACUGCCGG
rnacentral:rRNA from 1 species